rnacentral:rRNA from 1 species
GACGAACGCUGGCGGCGUGCUUAACACAUGCAAGUCGAACGGAAAGGCCCUGCUUUUGUGGGGUGCUCGAGUGGCGAACGGGUGAGUAACACGUGAGUAACCUGCCCUUGACUUUGGGAUAACUUCAGGAAACUGGGGCUAAUACCGGAUAGGAGCUCCUGCUGCAUGGUGGGGGUUGGAAAGUUUCGGCGGUUGGGGAUGGACUCGCGGCUUAUCAGCUUGUUGGUGGGGUAGUGGCUUACCAAGGCUUUGACGGGUAGCCGGCCUGAGAGGGUGACCGGCCACAUUGGGACUGAGAUACGGCCCAGACUCCUACGGGAGGCAGCAGUGGGGAGUAUUGCACAAUGGGCGGGAGCCCGAUGCGGCGACGCCGCGUGCGGGAUGACGGCCUUCGGGUUGUAAACCGCUUUCGCCUGUGACGAAGCGUGAGUGACGGUAAUGGGUAAAGAAGCACCGGCUAACUACGUG